AGAUUAAGUUAUUAAGGGCGCACGGUGGAUGCCUUGGCACUAGAAGCCGAUGAAGGACGUUACUAACGACGAUAUGCUUUGGGGAGCUGUAAGUAAGCUUUGAUCCAGAGAUUUCCGAAUGGGGAAACCCAGCAUGAGUUAUGUCAUGUUAUCGAUAUGUGAAUACAUAGCAUAUCAGAAGGCACACCCGGAGAACUGAAACAUCUUAGUACCCGGAGGAAGAGAAAGAAAAUUCGAUUCCCUUAGUAGCGGCGAGCGAAACGGGAAGAGCCCAAACCAACAAGCUUGCUUGUUGGGGUUGUAGGACACUCUAUACGGAGUUACAAAGGACGACAUUAGACGAAUCAUCUGGAAAGAUGAAUCAAAGAAGGUAAUAAUCCUGUAGUCGAAAAUGUUGUCUCUCUUGAGUGGAUCCUGAGUACGACGGAGCACGUGAAAUUCCGUCGGAAUCUGGGAGGACCAUCUCCUAAGGCUAAAUACUCUCUAGUGACCGAUAGUGAACCAGUACCGUGAGGGAAAGGUGAAAAGCACCCCGGAAGGGGAGUGAAAUAGAACCUGAAACCGUGUGCUUACAAGUAGUCAGAGCCCGUUAAUGGGUGAUGGCGUGCCUUUUGUAGAAUGAACCGGCGAGUUACGAUUUGAUGCAAGGUUAAGCAGUAAAUGUGGAGCCGUAGCGAAAGCGAGUCUGAAUAGGGCGUUUAGUAUUUGGUCGUAGAC
rnacentral:rRNA from 1 species